rnacentral:lncRNA from 12 species
CAGAGCUGCUCUACCGACUUUUCCCCUCCUAAAGUUUUCGUGCGAUUUUGUGCUGAUACAUGGACUCAACGAUCCAGGAAGUUGCCUGUACCUUGGGAGCUCCAUUUAGCUUCACAGGGUCAGGGCCACCCCACCCGGCCCUCUCAGAGGAGGGUGCUACGGCCAACUCUCCGGAUGGCCUGGGGGCAGCGGGACACUCAACGGGCCCAGACUGCUCCUCUCAUACCAGUUGGGACCCACUGAGGAUGCGAUCCAGAUCUCAGAGCAUCAGUGGCAAUCAGAACAACACCACUGGCAGGUCACUACAUACCCUGCCUGGAUGGUGAGAAACUUGAAGCCUUAAUUUCUUCGCUGGCAGGGAUUCCACAGUCUCUCUUCCAUUGGAUCUCAGCAGGACCAAGACAUUAAAGCUUGCUUGUGUUUGUA